rnacentral:rRNA from 1 species
GAGUUUGAUCGUGGCUCAGAUUGAACGCUGGCGGCAUGCCUUACACAUGCAAGUCGAACGGCAGCAUGAUCUAGCUUGCUAGAUUGAUGGCGAGUGGCGAACGGGUGAGUAAUACAUCGGAACGUGCCCUGUAGUGGGGGAUAACUAGUCGAAAGAUUAGCUAAUACCGCAUACGACCUGAGGGUGAAAGUGGGGGGACCGCAAGGCCUCAUGCUAUAGGAGCGGCCGAUGUCUGAUUAGCUAGUUGGUGGGGUAAAGGCCCACCAAGGCGACGAUCAGUAGCUGGUCUGAGAGGACGAUCAGCCACACUGGGACUGAGACACGGCCCAGACUCCUACGGGAGGCAGCAGUGGGGAUUUUGGACAAUGGGCGAAAGCCUGAUCCAGCAAUGCCGCGUGUGUGAAGAAGGCUCGG